UGGAGGGCAAGUCUGGUGCCAGCAGCCGCGGUAAUUCCAGCUCCAAUAGCGUAUAUUAAAGUUGUUGCAGUUAAAAAGCUCGUAGUUGAAUUUCGGGGUUCUACCGUUGGUCGGGCUUUGUCCGUACUGGUGUGUAGAAUUUCUACCUUCUGGGGAACCAUCAUGCUAUUAAUUUAGCGUGGUGGGAAACCAGGACCUUUACCUUGAAAAAAUUAGUGUGUUCAAAGCAGGCUUAUGUCUGAAUACAUUAGCGUGGAAUAAUAGAAUAGGACGGUGGUCCUGUUUUGUUGGUUUCUGAAUCACCGUAAUGAUUAAUAGGGAUAGUUGGGGGCAUUAGUAUUCAAUUGUCAGAGGUGAAAUUCUUGGAUUUAUUGAAGACUAACUUCUGCGAAAGCAUUUGCCAAGGAUGUUUUCAUUAAUCAAGAACGAAAGUUAGGGGAUCGAAGACGAUCAGAUACCGUCGUAGUCUUAACCAUAAACUAUGCCGACUAGGGAUCGGACGAUGUUAAUUUUUCUUGACUCGUUCGGCGCCUUGCGGGAAA
rnacentral:rRNA from 1 species